GAAUGCUGACAUAAGUAACGAUAAAGCGGGUGAAAAGCCCGCUCGCCGGAAGACCAAGGGUUCCUGUCCAACGUUAAUCGGGGCAGGGUGAGUCGACCCCUAAGGCGAGGCCGAAAGGCGUAGUCGAUGGGAAACGGGUUAAUAUUCCCGUACUUGGUGUUACUGCGAAGGGGGGACGGAGAAGGCUAUGUUGGCCGGGCGACGGUUGUCCCGGUUUAAGCGUGUAGGUGUGUGUUCCAGGUAAAUCCGGUUCACUUUAACACUGAGGCGUGACGACGAGGCACUACGGUGCUGAAGCAACAAAUGCCCUGCUUCCAGGAAAAGCCUCUAAGCAUCAGGUAACAUCAAAUCGUACCCCAAACCGACACAGGUGGUCAGGUAGAGAAUACCAAGGCGCUUGAGAGAACUCGGGUGAAGGAACUAGGCAAAAUGGUGCCGUAACUUCGGGAGAAGGCACGCUGACACGUAGGUGAAGUGAUUUACUCAUGGAGCUGAAGUCAGUCGAAGAUACCAGCUGGCUGCAACUGUUUAUUAAAAACACAGCACUGUGCAAACACGAAAGUGGACGUAUACGGUGUGACGCCUGCCCGGUGCCGGAAGGUUAAUUGAUGGGGUCAGCGCAAGCGAAGCUCCUGAUCGAAGCCCCGGUAAACGGCGGCCGUAACUAUAACGGUCCUAAGGUAGCGAAAUUCCUUGUCGGGUAAGUUCCGACCUGCACGAAUGGCGUAAUGAUGGCCAGGCUGUCUCCACCCGAGACUCAGUGAAAUUGAACUCGCUGUGAAGAUGCAGUGUACCCGCGGCAAGACGGAAAGACCCCGUGAACCUUUACUAUAGCUUGACACUGAACAUUGAGCCUUGAUGUGUAGGAUAGGUGGGAGGCUUUGAAGUGUGGACGCCAGUCUGCAUGGAGCCGACCUUGAAAUACCACCCUUUAAUGUUUGAUGUUCUAACGUGGACCCGUUACCCGGGUUGCGGACAGUGUCUGGUGGGUAGUUUGACUGGGGCGGUCUCCUCCUAAAGAGUAACGGAGGAGCACGAAGGUUGGCUAAUCCUGGUCGGACAUCAGGAGGUUAGUGCAAUGGCAUAAGCCAGCUUGACUGCGAGCGUGACGGCGCGAGCAGGUGCGAAAGCAGGUCAUAGUGAUCCGGUGGUUCUGAAUGGAAGGGCCAUCGCUCAACGGAUAAAAGGUACUCCGGGGAUAACAGGCUGAUACCGCCCAAGAGUUCAUAUCGACGGCGGUGUUUGGCACCUCGAUGUCGGCUCAUCACAUCCUGGGGCUGAAGUAGGUCCCAAGGGUAUGGCUGUUCGCCAUUUAAAGUGGUACGCGAGCUGGGUUUAGAACGUCGUGAGACAGUUCGGUCCCUAUCUGCCGUGGGCGCUGGAGAACUGAGGGGGGCUGCUCCUAGUACGAGAGGACCGGAGUGGACGCAUCACUGGUGUUCGGGUUGUCAUGCCAAUGGCACUGCCCGGUAGCUAAAUGCGGAAGAGAUAAGUGCUGAAAGCAUCUAAGCACGAAACUUGCCCCGAGAUGAGUUCUCCCUGAGACUUAAAGUCUCCUGAAGGAACGUUGAAGACGACGACGUUGAUAGGCCGGG
rnacentral:rRNA from 1 species